CCCUUAACAAGUAACAAUUAGAGGGCAAGUCUGGUGCCAGCAGCCGCGGUAAUUCCAGCUCUAAUAGCGUAUAUUAAUAUUGUUGCAGUUAAAAAGCUCGUAGUUGAAAUUUGGAACUUUAUUGUAUUGGUUUAUCUUUUGAUGAACUGUAUGAUGGGUUUCUUCCUACUAGAGUUCGAUUCUGUUCUUAACUGAAUGGAGUAGCUAUCUUUCGGGGUGGUCAAUUGGUUGUUAUAUCUCCACUAAUGAGCAGAGAGGGGUUAAACCUUCAAAGUAAGUUAUGUGGGUCAAGGUAUAAUGAUUAAUUGGAGUUCUAGUUCAUUUACUUUGAGAAAAUUAGAGUGUUUAAAAGCAGCCUCUUGGGGCACUGAAUACAUUAGCAUGGGAUAAUAAAAUAGGAUCUUCACAAUAUAUUUUAUUGGUUUAAAUUGCGUAUGAAGAUAAUGAUUAAUAGGGACAGUUGGGGG
rnacentral:rRNA from 1 species